ensembl:lncRNA
AGUAUUUUUACUAGUCAUUAGCAACUUUGUGGUAACUAAUAGGUGGUAAUAUGUAGUGUGGACGGUUCUGUAAUUUAAACAUUUAUUUGCUAGCAUAUAUUCACCUUCAGAGGGGAAAAAAGCAACAAACAAUAUUUAGUGAAGAGUAAGAUUGAGCUUUAUCAUUCACUAGAAGGUCAUAAAUAAUGGGAUUUCAAGUAACAUGGAAACCUCUGAGACCCGUCUAACUUGAACAAUUCUUAUAAUGUAGGACCCUUCUAAGGUCACUCUGGAACACCAGUAACUUUGGGCAUCUUUAAAUCACAGUAUUGUAAUUCUCACAACCAUGAGAAACAGAAAGCCUCGGAGUUCUAGCAGUCAUGUGAUAUCCCAAAAAGUGCAUUAGCCAAAAACAUUUAAAUAAAUAAACUACUACUCUUCAGGCUCUAGCAUUCUGCAGCAACUGAGACUCAAAUAUUCAGCACUAGCAGUGCCAGGCUUUGUUAAGCUGAAAAUUCAUCUGGAGUAUUGCUGGCACAAUGUGCUGUAAAAUUAUUAGUAGGAAAACUAGAAGGAAGGAUGUACAAAUCAAAGCUAAGAGAGGAAAGUCUGAGAAGCACAAGACCCAAUCAAGACCCUGUUUCAAGUCCUAGAGAGAGAAGAUUUCAUACUGCUUCUCCUACAGGCUUUCCAAGCCAGCCGCAUGAUCAACCUGACAAGUCUCUUCAGUUUCCCAGCUGCGCACAAGGCUCUGAACAGCAGCCAGCAAGAAGCAGGGGUCAACUUUGAAAUUCUGAAUCCAAAGAACAUGGAAAAGUUUACCUAGUCUCCUCCAAAGACAGAAAUAAAAUAGUAAAAACUGACCAACUUAUACCAUCUCUUUCAUUUCACUGUCUGAAAAAUCAAAGUAGC